rnacentral:rRNA from 1 species
GGCAGGCUUAACACAGUGCAAGUCGAGGGGUAUGGUUCUUCGGAACCAGAGACCGGCGCACGGGUGCGUAACGCGUAUGCAAUCUGCCUUUCACAGAGGGAUAGCCCAGAGAAAUUUGGAUUAAUACCUCAUAGUAUAGCGACAUCGCAUGAUGAUGCUAUUAAAGUCACAACGGUGAAAGAUGAGCAUGCGUCCCAUUAGCUAGUUGGUAAGGUAACGGCUUACCAAGGCAACGAUGGGUAGGGGUCCUGAGAGGGAGAUCCCCCACACUGGUACUGAGACACGGACCAGACUCCUACGGGAGGCAGCAGUGAGGAAUAUUGGUCAAUGGGCGCAAGCCUGAACCAGCCAUGCCGCGUGCAGGAUGACGGUCCUAUGGAUUGUAAACUGCUUUUGCACAGGAAGAAACACUGAUUCGUGAAUCAGCUUGACGGUACUGUGAGAAUAAGGAUCGGCUAACUCCGUGCCAGCAGCCGCGGUAAUACGGAGGAUCCAAGCGUUAUCCGGAAUCAUUGGGUUUAAAGGGUCCGUAGGCGGUCUGGUAAGUCAGUGGUGAAAGCCCAUCGCUCAACGGUGGAACGGCCAUUGAUACUGCUGGACUUGAAUUAUUAGGAAGUAACUAGAAUAUGUAGUGUAGCGGUGAAAUGCUUAGAGAUUACAUGGAAUACCAAUUGCGAAGGCAGGUUACUACUAAUGGAUUGACGCUGAUGGACGAAAGCGUGGGUAGCGAACAGGAUUAGAUACCCUGGUAGUCCACGCCGUAAACGAUGGAUACUAGCUGUUGGAAGCAAUUUCAGUGGCUAAGCGAAAGUGAUAAGUAUCCCACCUGGG